rnacentral:tRNA from 1 species
GGAGACGUAGCUCAGCUGGUUAGAGCGCUUCCCUGUCACGGAAGAGGUCGAGGGUUCAAAUCCCUUCGUCUCCG